UACGUAGGGGGCAAGCGUUGUCCGGAAUCAUUGGGCGUAAAGCGCGCGUAGGCGGCCUUGUAAGUCCGUUCUGAAAGUCCGGGGCUCAACCCCGGGAGGCGGAUGGAUACUGCAAGGCUCGAGUACGGAAGGGGCUACUGGAAUUCUCGGUGUAGCGGUGAAAUGCGUAGAUAUCGAGAGGAACACCUGCGGCGAAGGCGGGUAGCUGGGCCGACACUGACGCUGAGGCGCGAAAGCCAGGGGAGCGAACGGG
rnacentral:rRNA from 1 species